GUUCAAAGGAAGACAUAAAAAGAAACAUGAUUUUGAAGUGGCGGUGAAAUGCAUUAACAAGAAAAACCUCGCCAAAUCACAGUCGCUACUAGGAAAAGAAAUCAGGAUAUUAAAGGAGCUGAAACAUGAGAACAUUGUCAGCUUACUAGACUUUCAGGUAU